rnacentral:tRNA from 1 species
CAGGAUAAAACUUAUUAGUUAAAGUGUUUCAUUUACACUGAAAAUGUUUCUGUGCAAAUCAGGAUAUUCUGA